rnacentral:rRNA from 1 species
AAUCUGCCCAUUGGUCUGGGAUAACUUCUCGAAAGGGGAGCUAAUACCGGAUAAGCCCACAGAGACUUCGGUCACGGUGGGAAAAGAUGACCUCUUCUAUGUUAUCGCCAUUGGAUGAGUCCGCGGCCCAUUAGCUAGUUGGUAGGGUAAUGGCCUACCAGGCUACGAUGGGUAGCUGGUCUGAGAGGAUGAUCAGCCACACUGGAACUGAGACACGGUCCAG